CAAGGUGCCUCGGAGAGGAAGGAGGAAAAGCAGAGAGAAUGAUGUCAGGGAAAGGAGGGAGUUUGGCCCAGGUCUCCCUCCCUGCCCGUUCUUGUCCCUGGGAGGCAGCUCUGGCUGACUGUGGCCCUGGAGCCACUGGCUAGAGGAGAGUCAGGGUGAUUGGCAUUUCCUGGCCCCCUGACUCUGGAUUCUUCCCUGGCAGAGGCUGACGCAGGAGAUCCAGAGCCGAGAGCGGGACAGGGCCACGGCAUCCCGCCUCUCCCAGGCCCUGCAGGCAGCGCUCCAGGACUAUGAGCUCCAGGCAGACACCUACCGCUGCUCUUUGGAGCCCACCCUGGGAGUGUCAGUCCCCAAGAGACCCCGAGUGGCUCCCCUGCAGGAGAGCAUCCAGGCCCAGGAGAAGAACCUUGCAAAGGCCUAUACUGAGGUUGCAGCAGCACAGCAGCAGCUGCUCCAGCAGCUGGAGUUUGCUAGAAAAAUGCUGGAGAAGGUACAUAGACAACACCUACACCUUUCCCACAACAGCCAAGAAUAACCAGGAAUGC
rnacentral:sRNA from 1 species